rnacentral:rRNA from 1 species
AUAGAGACUCAGAGCUGCAUAUCAAUAAGCGGAGGAAAAGAAACUAACUAGGAUUCCCUUAGUAACGGCGAGUGAAGCGGGAAGAGCUCAAAUUUGAAAUCUUCAAGGUUCUACCUUGACGAAUUGUAGUUUAAAGAAGUGUUUUCUGUUAAGUAUGAGUACAAAAGUUCCUUUGGAAUAGGACAUCAUAGAGGGUGAGAAUCCCGUAUUUGACCAUUAUCUCCAGCUGUGUGAUACACUUUCAACGAGUCGGAUUGUUUGGGGAUGCAGUCCAAAAUGGGUGGUAAAUUUCAUCUAAAGCUAAAUAUUGGCGAGAGACCGAUAGCGAACAAGUACCGUGAGGGAAAGAUGAAAAGAACUUUGAAAAGAGAGUUAAACAGUACGUGAAAUUGUCAAAAGGGAAGCGUUUGACACCAGUGUUGUUUUUCUCGAAAAUCAAUUACAAAUGGCUUGAUUUUGUGUUGUAUUGACCUUAUCAGCUUUCUGCACUUUUUUCUAGUCUUUCUUAAUGCACUUUUCGUUUAACAAGUCAACAUCAAUUUCUUUUGUUGUAAAAGAGUAUUCGGAAGGUGGCUUUCUUUUCGGAGAAAGUGUUUAUAGCCCUAUACUUCUACAAUCGGAGAGAUUGAGGUCUGCAGCGUAGAUCCUUCGGGGUUAGAUACACUUGUGCUAAGUUGUAGCUUUUCAUAGACAACUUGUUGACUAUGUUUAGUCAUGCGGCUUACUCGCUUGUGCUAUUUUACCUACGCUUAGGAUGUUGACGAUCAGCUGAGCGCG